rnacentral:rRNA from 1 species
AUGUCUUUUAGAAAAUAAUUUAAAGUCUAAUCUGCCCACUGAUUUGUUAAUUAAAGGGCUGCAGUAUAUUGACUGUACAAAGGUAGCAUAAUCAUUAGUCAUUUAAUUGAUGACUUGUAUGAAAGAUUGGAUGAAAUAUGAACUGUCUCUUAUUUAAAUAUAAAAUUUAAUUUUUUUAUCAAAAAGUUAAAAUGGUUUAAAAAGACGAGAAGACCCUAUAGAGUUUUAUUAAUAUAUUAAUUAAGAUUAUAUGUAAAAUAAAUUUAAAAUUAAAUUAUUAAUUUUAUUGGGGUGAUAAAAAAAUAUAUUUAACUUUUUUUAAAGUAAAACAUUUAUAAGUGGUUAAAUGAUCCAAUAAUGUUGAUUAUAAGAAUAAAUUACCUUAGGGAUAACAGCGUAAUUUUUUUUUUUAGUUCAAAUAAAAAAAAGAGUUUGCGACCUCGAUGUUGGAUUAAGAUAAAAUUUAAAUGCAGAAGUU